rnacentral:lncRNA from 1 species
AGGUGUCAAAUUGGUUCAUUAAUGCCCGAGUUCGACUUUGGAAGCCAAUGGUUGAGGAAAUGUACACGGAGGAGAUGAAGGAACAUGAAAAGAAUGGCUCCGAGGUGAAAACGAGCAAAAGUGAGCAAAACGAAGAUUCAGGAUCCAAAUCCAAUGCUCUGCAGGAGAAAAGCUCGAGCUUGGAGAUUCAAAACAAAGGUUUUAUCUCAAAACAGGACCAUCUUGCAAACCAGAACGUCACUAGUCCAAUUUCAAUGUCUCCUACAGCAUCUCCACCUGGAAUACACAUCCAGAAUCAGUCCGGUUUCAACCUAAUCGGUUCACCAGAAAUGGACAGCAUAACCCAAGGAAGCCCUAAGAAACUGCGAAGCGCAGACAUGUUACAUUCUCCAAGCAGCGUUCCAUCA